rnacentral:tRNA from 1 species
AGGAGUGUAGCUCAAUUGGUAGAGCACCGGUCUCCAAAACCGGAAGUUGGGAGUUCGAGUCUCUUCACUCCUGCCA